CCCCCCAAAAAAAAAAGGGGAUCAUGUUUUUGUCUAACCUUUUCCAGCUUUACUCCUCAAAAGUUGAUCAGUCCCUGAAAAACUUCAAACAAUUCCAGACAAAGACUCUGAGGCACAGAGUUCCCUAGAGGUGAAGCAAAGGCUGUGUACUAGCAAAGCAUCCCAACAGUGGGAACGAAAAGGGCUUAAGAAAAACAUGCCGACUAGAAGUAGAGAUGUGUUCAGACCUGUAACCUUACAGAUUCAGGAAUACUUCAAAGUUGAAACUGGUAGGAUCUGAUUACAUUUCAUCACAGAGGAUAAAUUUAUGCCUGUAAGCCAUAACCUUUGGUCAGUCUUCUCUGUCUCUUCCUAUUGGCUAAGACAUAUAGUUGUGCUGUUCAUCAGCCAUGCAGUCACACUGAAUACAAUUCUUGCUGUUUUUUUUUCUUUUGUUUCAUUGGCUACUUAUAUCUUCAACAAAGAUGGGAGCUAUCCAAAUUGACUGUGUGCUUAUAUACAGAAGACAAGUCAAACUUAUUUUAUGAUAUCCACUGUGCUAAUGCAAGGGAUAGUGGAUGCUCGUGUUGCUGUAAUAACUGGAAAAAGAAUGUAGAACAGGUGUUAUUCACAAAGCAAUAGAAUCCAGAAGGUAAAUGUUCAGCUUUAUUGGCACUGCAGUUGGGCAGCCAUGGUGCAGAACUCUGGGGCUACUUUUAUAUCAGUAAAUAAAAUAGGCCAGGGAGAAGCUUUGGCUUUAUGGCCUGUUGACAUGAGUAAGCUCAGGAUCAGCCAGCUAAACUCUUUAACUCUAUAAAAGUGUGGCUAUCUCCAAACAGCCUGUUGAUUUUUGGGUUAGCUAAGACCUGAAAACUGUGUCCAGGCAUUAUCUGGAAGAGUAUUAUUUUGGACCAAAACUGUACCGGAAAGUGUGCUAAUAAUUCAACAUCAUGGCCUGGCCCUGUUUAGUGUGCUACUAUAGAAGUAGUCAAAGAUGCCAUGUGUUGCACAGAGCCAGAAACCAGUGCUUGCCACUCAGACACUGAGGUAGGCAGCAACGUCAAGAAGACAGCUAAAUAUAACCCUGGGUUCUGCAGUGAUAUAUAUCAUUUUCCUUCUGUGCUGCAGAGCAGAAUGAGCAGACAAACUUUCUGAAAAAAUUUGGAAACAGAUGUAUGCUGUUUCUCCUACUCUCAAAAGUCUGGGAGGGGGCAUUUGCUUUCUGUCAUUCAAAAAUGCUCCUUUUAUCAACGGAAGAGCAGUGUGUGAACAAUAUAUUACAAGCUUGUCAUGAAAAUUCAGCUUCUCAAAACCAAAACAAUAUGAAGCAUUCUCUUUUCCCCAACUUAUGAGAGUUUCAAAUUUCAACCUGAAUGAACAGUUCUGUUUCCCACCCAACCAUAUUUCUUGGACAACUCCUGUAAACCUGAUACAUGACCACUGCUCUUUACGGGAGCUCUUCAGAUUUUCUGUACCAAUCUAUAUCUGUAUUCUAUAUAACGGCGUACACUGAAAUAGAUGCUUGUUCAUAUUGGGAGCCAUGAAACUAUGCAGGUCUGUCUUGUGUGCCUUUAUUGUAGAGGUCACUAGAUAUUACAUCUACCUUCUGCUUUUUUAACACAUGAUCACUGUACUGAAUUAUGAUGGAGUGCUCGGUGCAGGCCAGCUGGUUUCACAGUGAAGAAACUAAAGCUCAGGUUCCUAUUUCACCUGACUGGGCAAACUCCCUCUGGAUCCCCUCCUCAUUUUAUGGUGAGAAUGGGCCAAGAUCUUCUGGCACAAACAAAUUAUUGUGAGAAGACACUGGAAAACAGACAAGUCCUUCAAUUUGUUGUGAAAGACAUAAGUACCUGAGUUGGCUUCAGGACAAGGCACCUCCAGCUUCUACCUAUGAAUCAGUGCACCCUAGGAAGGACUCAGUAAUUUGGCUGCGAAUUUCUUUCAUUGCUGGCUAAAGCUAACCCAGUCACAGAGAUGCUGGUGCCGAUUAUCUAAAUUAUCUGUCUACAAUGAAGAUAGUCUGUUUAGAUUUGAUUUCAGAAAUCAGUUCUUGCCUUUGGGCUGAGAAGAAUUUGGCUGCUGGUCUUUUGAGGUACCUGCAGUAAAACAGAGGAUGUUGCAACCCAAAUUACUGGCUCCAGUUCUUCCUUGAGAGGAGGGAUCUUUCUGCUGGCUGAUGAUACUUAUCCAAGGUGGGGUUAAAACUUUCUUGCAUUCUUAGAUGUGUAAUGUGCCAUCCUAACCAAAGGUAACUUAUUGUUAAAAGUACAGCUUUCCUGGCAAGCGGUGCACAAAAAAAGCAAGGCACAGCUGGUGCUGAAUAAGGCUUCUCCACACUUUUGCAAAACACAGACUGCAGCCCAAGAUGAAGCCACUAGAAAACCUCAGAGCAGGCAAGAUACACAAGACUGUAUAGCCAAUGAUAACAGGAAAGUUUAACACUAGAUCAACACAAGUAUAAUUAGCUGUUUCAAGUGGAGACAUUAUUCUUCAUUUCCUGCCCUCAGCUUGUUGCUCUGAACUGUUAAACAAUAGCUGUGUUUCAUGCAGGAAGGGUAGUAUUUCAGAGGCUGGUGAAAUGGCUCUCCUGCGGGACCAGAUCCAAAGGCAGAUAGAUUCACUGCGAGUGUCACUAGGCUGCUCCAGGUGGGCCAGAACAACCUGACAAACACAGAAAUGGUGGAGAAAGGUGGCUAAGUUGGCAACCAAAAAGACAUUAGCAUUAUUUCAGCAGCAUUUGUAUUCACUUGGUUUCAGUUCUUUUGCCUCACAUAGGCUUCAUAUCUACUGGACUAAAACAUGACCAAAGAAUCCUCUUCCUUUUUUUGGUGAGUUGCAGAUUACUAAUAUGAGGACAGAUUUUACAUUUUUUUGCCUACUAGUCUGUGUGGGCAAUUCUUUUUUCUCCUCACUCUGCCAGUCUCCUUCAUCCAUCUCCCACCUUUCAGUCAUAGUUUUUCAACCAUAUUUCUUUCACUGCUGUGUUUUCUGCUUUCUACCAAGUUUCAGAUGCACUGAGCCUUCUUUCUGUGGACCCAGACCUCUUCCAGUCCCAGCAGGCCUUGGCAAGGAUUACUAGCCUUUGGAGGCAGGCUGGCCACGAUCUAAUUCAAAUUCCUGGGGUAACAGGCAAUCAGGAGCAGCUAGAUCCAGGGAAAAGCUGCCCUCUUUCUUCUGAUGAUAGUUUGUUCUGCAAGUUUUGGCAGAAUCUGAACUCAAUAUUCAAUAAUGAGUCUAAUGCGAAUGCAGUGAUUUUGGGUCUUCCUCCAGGUUCACACCCACUCUGCAAAACCAGCAGUGCCUGGCAUCACUCUGUGAGGUAGGAAAAACAGUUGGGAAAUGUCAGGAUGAAAAGUUUAUAUAAUGAUACCAAUCAUUAGAUGCUUUGUAUAGUAUAUGUGCAGACUGUAGUUAUGCACAUGUGUGUCUAAUCCUUUUGGCUUAACAUAGUAAACAUUUGAUUAUUCCAGCUGUGCCAAACUUUCUGCCAUUUUAAAGCCUAGGGAAAUUCAGGUUAGAUGCUCCAAACACUUAGAAGUUAUUUGAAUGUAUACAUGCUAUCACUGAGACAAAUUUUGUCGAUCUGCAUAUGCAAACAACAUGACAGGCAAAAAGGAUUAGACAUAAUUAUAUGGAAUUAUAUUCUUUUGCUCAUACUCUAUGCCUUUAUUUGUUCUUGAAUGUCUUAUAAAAAAACCACACACACACACACACACACACACACAAAGAAACAAACAUGUACACUAUACAUAAGAACCUGGCAAUCUCCCAAACCACAGUCUAGCAUUUGGCAAAACUAUCAGAUAAGACUGAACAGAAAAACUACAAUGUGAUGAUGAGCUAAUUUUGGAGACAAGAUGUACUAGGAUGACAAGAUCUACUACUAGAUGUAAUAGGGCUCUGAGACGGUAAGUUCAAUUCUUCCUUCUGCUACAGGUUUCAUGUUUUAUAGUGAGUCAUUUCUGAGUCCCAUGCCUCACUUUCCCUAUUCUAAAUAGUAGAAUAAAACUUUUUUUUUUUUUACCAUAUUUUAAUUAGCUUCACUCUUUUAAUAUAAAUAACUCUUCAAGGCAGAAAAUAAGCAGAAUGAGACCUUAUUUGUAACAAGAGUUUCUAGUGCACACUAUUCUCUGAUAAAUAAUAGCAUGUUCAUGCAUUCAGGUGGUACGUAUGAAGCAUUUUUCUGCAGAGGUGUUUUUGUUUUUUGUUAUACAUAACAGUAGGUCACUCUUUCCUUGUGCCAAACAUUUUAUCUUGUCCUCCUUUUAAAAAAUAUACAAAUGGCAGAAUGGAAGGGUUGCAUGGAUGGUGUGGCCUGGGAUAGAUAGGACAGGAAGAUUGUGAAGAAGCUGUGGAAGAUAUAUAAAUGGCUGGGGAGUGUGUGUAAAGACUUUCUCUGCAAUCUUUAAUCUUUAAGUAACAUUAAACUGUCUGCCUUAGGUCUUCUUCAGCUGUAUCACUCUACACAACAGAUGUCGAUCCCGUGAAUCUUUCAAGUGAAGACAUUUCGUGAUUCACAGAAAAUUUAUGAUUAAAAGAUGGUAUAAAGAUGAGAAACCACCCGCCAUUAUGAGCCAUGAUGAACAUGUGUGCAAAGUUAUUGCAAAAGACACUCUGCAUUCUACUCCCAGAAAAGGGAAAAAAUGUUCCCUUUGGUUGGGUAAAAUGUAUAAAUUAAGUAAAGAUGGCCCUCUCCUACUGUUUGAGUCUUUCAUAUCAGUUUACAAGCAGUAAAAUCAUAAGAGCUCAGCAAUGAGUACAACAUUACUUCUACUCAUCUGUCAAUUUCAAGAAAUUGGGGUAUAUAAUUUGUUGAGUAAUCCUUUGAAUUUCCCUUUAAAAAAGAAAUGUGGUAUCACUUGAUGUACCUCUCUAUGACUUUUCAAACUGUAAACAACUCUCAGUGCCUAGCUCUGUUUGGCUAUCUGAAAUGAUAAGGCAGAUAUUUGAAUUAACAAAGAGUUUGUUUAAAACGGCUGUUUUUAUCUAAUGAAUGCUAUGGUUCUUCCCCCUCCUGAGGAUGUAUGGAAAAGGCAUAGAAAUGGUAAAAUUUUCAUGGUGUUACUGGUUUCACUGGGAGAAAGAAGAAAAAAAUGCCAUGUGAAUUAAGUAACUGCCAAAUUGAAGAAAAUUGCACAAUUCUGACUAUUCAUAGCCAUUUCACAGAACAAGAAAACUUAAAAAGUUUUGCUGUGCAUUAGAAAAUAGAGAUAAAAUACCACUUUGCAAAUUUUAUCUUCUUUUUUUCCCCCAAGCUCUCGCUAAAUUAGAUAUUGUCAAAAUGCCAAGAAUUUUUUAGCAAAUUGAAAUCUGACAGCAAAUAUUCGCAACACGUGUGUCAGGGAGCAGCGAGGGCCAGCUGCUCCCGAAGGGACCGGGAACCCAGUAGUGCUUCCCAGCACGGCAGAGGCCUGGCCAGGCAGGAGCAGGGGCUGGAGCUGGUAGCGCUGCGGUAUUGCGAGGCAGUGACUGAUGGCGUGGACACUGUGAUUUUAAUUUUUGAGUUAACUUUGGUCUUUAUCGCUCUUAUUAUACUGACAUUUUCAGUUGAGGUUACUUCUUUUCUUAUUCUGAAAUAUUUUCUUAAUCCUACUGUAAAGUACUGGCAUAACUUGUAGGAUGGAUAAGAGUGCUUUGCACUUCAUUGAUGGACGAAUUAUAGAAUACAAUGAGCUUGGAUGCAAAUACUGAGCCUAUCUCUCUGCUAAAUACUAAAUAAAGCGCAGGCACAGACCAAAACUGUUGCCCAGUUUUGGCUCAGCCAUGUAGCAGUCUCCCCAAAAAGUCCGAACCUCGUGGCAGGGACAGCUCCCAACAGGCAGUUCAGGUGGGGACACCUAGUUUUGGGGGGCACACGAGUGUCACUGCAGGGACGCAAGACAUGUUACGUUGUUUGGCCUCAGGCACAGGAAAUACUGCAUAUCCCAUUUUAUCUACUAGUACAGCUAUAGUUUGAGAGCUUUGCGAUAAUCUUCUUUUGCUAGAAACCUUAUGGGCUUGUUCCUCAGCUGUUCUGAUGGACCUCAUUGACAGAGUAGCUUAAAGGUUUGUCAGAUACUCGGUCUUAUCCAAAGACCCGGGAAAGGUUAGUGGGAAUUUUAUAUUUGGGCUUUUUUUUUUUCUGAAAUAAAUGAGGAAGAUUAACUUCACCUGAAGUUAGCCAUCUACAGACUAUAACAUCUACUCUGAACUCGUCAUCUUUUCAGUCAGUGGGAAAAGACAGGUGCGUCCAAACUAAAAAUAGUCAACUGUUCACUACAGCAUGGCAACACUAAGUUAUUAUAUUCUAUAAUAAAAAAGAAGAGUGAAAAACAGAGGAGCUCUUUACACUUCAAAACCUUCUUUUAAUAAAGCUGCUGUGCACAUCUUGAAGUUCAUAUGUUUCAUAUUCCUAUAAAGGGUGUCCUUGACGUGAUGGCCCCAGGCACUUCUGAAUAUGCUGCAGUUUUAUUCUGUGUGGAUAUGCUACUUUUUAGUGGCAGUUAGCGUUAUGCCCUUGAAUGAAAAGAGAACAACCAAACUACAGACCUUGCCUGGAACAGAGAUUAGGAACGCUAAAAUGUUGUCAGACCUUGGCUACAGUGAAGGAAGAAGAUUAUCUCUAUGGUAAGGAAUUAUCAUGAUGUCCUCUUCUGUUCCACUGAUAAGCUUAAGUGAGGAACCGGUUAAGGACAUUUUUAUUCCAUUUAAGACUUCUUGUAAUAAUUUCUGUAGCCUUUUUGGAUAAGUUGCAAUAUUAAAAUAUAGCUGUUUAUCAGUUAAGGGAACAGAUCUUUCUUUCCUUUUUUUCUUUUUUCUUUUUUUCUUUUUUUUCCUUUGGAUACUCUAGAAGCAUUUUCUCAGGUAUCCUUGUCAGGCAUUUUUAAGAUAGUGCAGAAUUUGCUUGAUCAUGUUCCAACAUGAUUGUUAAAAGAAUGCCUGCCUUUUCUUGGUCAUGCUAUCCUGAGAAUUGUGAAUUGCUCUCCUGGAUCUGGGAUGGUUCCAAAAUAAUUUAAACUGGGCUACAAUCAUUCUUUUGUUAGAAAAGAUGUCUUUGUCCAUGGAUGAUUUGUUUAAUAGCCAACCAGUUCAUAAUUUACACAUUUCCGUUAACAAGAUGGAAAAAGUAGUUUAAAGUUCAGUCUGGUUUUUAUAUACGUUGUAGUACAGAUCUGGGAGACCUAGCUUUUGUCAUUGUCCCUCGGCGUUGCUUAUAGUGUGACUUUUUGUUCUGUCUUGAGCUGUCUCCUUCUUGGUAGUUUACCUUUUGGCAGCAAUACGUUGAAGAACUUAAAUAUCUGUUUACUUUUAUGCACAAUCCUUUUCUAAUAGCUGUUACUGUGCUUGCCCUUCUAUGGAAAGCAAGAUGAUACUAGUGUCUUCUUAGUGAAAGGACAGUAUUAAUUCUUAACGCAAAUAUUAGUCUUAGCAAUUAAGUUUCAAAAAAUCAUCAACAUGAUUGUCAGGAAAUGAGUAACUUAGAAAACUAUAGGUGAAACAUUGCAACACGAAACCCUAAGAUAUCUGUUAAUUCUGAUCCAUUUUGCAUGAAAAUCAAUGACACUGAGAUUCCCUAAGUUUUCUGUAAGGUAGGUAGAGAGAAAUGAACACUUUCAGGGAGUUAUUCGUCAUUAGGUGAGUCAUAGACUGAAAGUACCCAUUUCUUUCCAUUGUCUCAUGAAGGGAAAAGGCUCCCUAACGUAGAAUAGACCAUUGCUUAGUUCAGCUAGAUUAGUCUGGGAGGGCUCCUCUGGCAAUAAACUCCAAGUGAAAUAAUUGGGGCUUCUUAGAGUUAGGAAGGCCAGCCUGUUGAAUGCCAGUGUCAAGGCCAGGGUUUUAUUUAGCAUCUUUGCUUGAUGAGCGCUGGUGAUCUAUAAGUCUUUUAUAAUUUCUUAGAGAUUGACACAGGAUUGCCAACUCUUACAAUUUUUUUUAUUUUUUUUAUGUGGGUAUGGUGAUCUUUGGUAGUUUCUCAUUUCCCUCAUUGCUGAAUUAUAUGAUAUGUAAAUAUGCCAGAAUUCAUUAAAAAAAAAAAAAAAAGAAGAAGCAGCAGCUUUUUCUAGCCUUCAGGACAGCAUAAAAGAAGCUGUGAAAUAGAAACCAUAUUUAAGUAGUAAAGUUGUGAUACUUAAUGUUUUGGAAUAGUUAUGGGGCCUGAAUUAUUACAGCCCCAUCAUAGUUUCAAUCUUCUGAGAAGCACUCCUACUCUUAAGAUAAAUACAUAUUUUAAAAGUGAAAUCUCUCUUCUAUUAGUGAACCUACUGAACUAUUUAUUGGGGAAAAGUUUAGCUAAGUUUCAGGAAAAAAUCCUAAUGUAUAUGGAGGAAACAGAAAAUAUCCUUCCAAUAGUCUCCAUACCAACAGUCUAAUGGUGGGGAGAGUUUCACUGAGAGUUUAAAGCUUUGUGUGAACUUGCUGUUAGAGGCUGUGAGCUACCUUCCAGCUCUUUCAGUAUCAGUUGGAAACGAAAAAAAAAACCUUUAUGAAAGAUUAAAAUAGUGUGCUGAUGUCUUAAUAUUUCAUAUAUCACACCAGUCUUUCAUGGAGGGACUUUUCUAGUUAUAUGAGAAAAAUAAUUUCUUAAAACCUCUCCAAAAAUCAUAAAAAAAGUUUUAAAAUAGUAUAAAACAAUUGUAAAAAUGGCAAAAAUGGUUUAUACUUAUUCACUGCUUUAAAGAACAUUAGUUUAGCAAGGACUGGAUAAGGAAGGAAGAAAGAAAUAAUAACACGAAAACAAAACACUUCAUUUGAAAAGGUGAGUUCCCCUAAUGCAGAUUAUGGUAAGUCUGACUAAAACCUUGAUAUGGUGAAAUUGCAAACAUCUGGAAUCCUCAAAAUCAGUAGGAAAUUAUUUUAACACUGAAUAUGGGAUUCAUUUGCUCAAAUUUAGACAUCUACAAAGUAAACAUCUAAGCCUGAACUGGUUUUCCAGGCUCUAGGUAAUCAAUAAAGAUAAACAGGCUCUUGCAGAGUACAAUUCAUCCCCAUUCUAAAGCAGACAUCUGAAAUGGGCCAGAUGAAUUACUCCCAGAAAAUGUUUAUUUUUCAUUGUUGAACACAAAGACAGACAUGACUGACUGCCUUGGAUGUGCAGCGUAGUCUAAAGUUAGGCAAGACACCUUCAGUACCUUCAGAACUAUAAUAGCAUGUGUGUGAAUAUGUAGAUUGUCUACUCCAAAUUCUGCUAUGGAAAACAGCUGCACCAUUGCAUUUCCUUAAGGUUAGCUUGGUUGCCUUGAAAUCUGUGCAUGUAUGUUCAUGCAUACAUGUAUCUACUUGUGUGCACAUGCAGGAAUGUAUAGUCUCCAUCAGGACUACCAUGUUACAUAAUAUCAGAAAUAAUAUUCUCGAUAACCUGACUCUAUAAUGUCACAUACAAAAACCAAUCAUGUUACUCAGACAGGAUUUUCAAAUUAAUGCUAUGGAGUUAAUCAAGAAAAUUAAUAGCACUGGGGUGGAAAGUUCUUUAACUCUUUUGUCAGCCUGAGCUCCAAAUGAGUGCCACAUCAUCUCUCCCAACUCAUUCCUACAUGUGUUUGGAAAUUAAAAGGAGAUGAGUUCUGCACCAUGUCCAGAAGGUUAGUGAGGUUUAGAGCAUCAAAUGAUAACUUCACUAUAAACAUCUUCUGAUCCACAACAUACAAGGUAAAAUGUGGAAUUAUUUAACCAGUUUAAUUCACUGAUUAUAAAAUUAUGAGAACCAUCCUAUGAGAAAUGGGCUCAUGGAGGUAAGUGGUUGCUUAGCUGUUAGGCAGUGCUUAACAAAACGUGAGAUAUUUGAGGUUCUGCAAUCUGUGUGAAACUCUUUAAUAAGCAGUCAAAUGCUUAGCUUCCAUUUUGUUUGCAUAAAAUCUACUUGGGAAGUGGUGAAGACAAUGCUAAGUGCAGUGCUCACAUUACAAAGACAAAGCUUGGCUUGUGUCAUAUGGCAUAGAUGAAAAAUAGUUCUUGUGACAGUCAUUUCUGUCUAAGACCACCAUCUUACAAACCCCUAUAGCAAGUGCUGAAGCAUUUCCCAUAAGGGGAGCUGAUGCAAUCCUUAGCAUCUCUCCUAGUUGUUUCUAACACACUAGUAUUUUAUAACAAUAUUCUCUUGAAUUUCAGCCAGUAUCCCUAAUCUAUUUUAAACAAUUUCUUUCAUUCUAUUGCACCCACCAGGAUGAAUGUCUAUGGGUAUCAGAUUGCCUUCAUGCCUCCUUCUUCAUGUCCUCAUGACACACAGGACAUGAUCCAGUUUAAGGUCAACAGUGUCUAUAACCAUGCUAUAGUAUCUGAGAUCCCAUUAGUGCUAUUGGAGAACUAAGGCUGAACUCAAUUGCCUAAACCUAAGCAUCUAGCAUCAUUUAAAAUGCCCUGGGUUAUCUAGGACAACUGGACAGGGCUGGAAGGUAUGACACAAGCCCUUUGGGGAAUUGAAGCCUGUUGGAUCACUGGAGGCUUGACAGGACACCUUAAGGCUAAUCAAUAUGUAGUUGAUGCCUGUAUGUAGGCAACUAACCUUGAGCCCUUGCUGUAUGGGAUGUUGUUCACAAACAUAUAAGUUACAUCUAUAUAGGUUGUCUUAUGGAUAGUAUACAGCAUAUAAUAUGUACCUAGGAUACAGGCUAUAUGUAUUUGCCACCAUUCUCAUAGUCCAGCUUGGGCUAGAAGUGGUGGAAUUUGAGCCAAGCAUGGAUCUGUAGCCCAGGGAUUGAAAUCAAUCAGGCAGGAGUUCUGGGUAUGGCCUAAAUGUUAUAGAGGUUGAGAGAAUGAUUUUUCACUGACCUUGCUAUGCUUUGGAUCAGGCCAUCUGUGCAUGAAAUAGCUUCCAGGAUCAGACCUAUCAUGACUUUAAUGUUCACUGCAGAUUUAAUGAAACUGCUUCAGCAACAUAAACUUGACUGUAAAAUAAAGAUUUUAAAUCAGCAUUCGUUCCUUGCAGUGUUUUAUGCAUAUGAUCCACUUAUAAACUUUCAUUAAGGAAGCUGGGUUAAAGCAGUGAGCCCUAGUUUUUAUAAGCUUUGUCUCCUUCAAAUCUUAUAAAAAUAAAUUUAAGUAGCUUACAUAUCCCUAAAUAAACUAUAACAAUAGUAGAGCACAGUUCAGUUAAUUUAGUGUGGUAGAAAAAAUUUCCUUGCUGGUUUUGAAAAUGUUAGAGAUUUGCCGGAUAUAUCAUUACCACCAAGUUGGUACUGACUUGUGGAGGCUAUAAAACAAAUAAAGUCAUUAAAAAUAAUUUGAACAAAAGGGGUAACUUGAUAUCAUAAUGCCAUCCACAUUUGGUUAAAAUGACUUAUUUUAAAGCUCUCUUUCAUCUUACUAAACAGAUUUCCAAAGUUAAAAAAAAUGUGAUUAAUAAAUUAUCCUCCAUAAAUCUUAUGAUAACUAUGAUAGUCUUUGGAGAAUUAUGAAGCCACAUCUGGAAAAAGUAUUUUACUGCCUGUAAAACAGCAUGCCAUGUAUUUUACUAGUGCACAUUAGUAAGUAAAAUACGGUAUAUAAUUUUUGCAUUCAUCAGUGUGAGUGCAAAACACAUCAUUUUCUCCUCCCCAAAACUCUUAGAUUUAUUUCACAGUAAAGGUUUCUUGUAAAGUUUAUAAGGAGCUUGUUUUCUAUUAUUCAUACAGAGAUAUUUCUCCAUUAUAUUAGCUGUAAUUUACAAGAUGAACUGGAGAGUACCUAGCAUCGGAACAGAAGUAAGUAAACAGUAAGAGUAAUAGGGUUCAUUUGUUAUUAUUAUUGCGCCAAGGCUUAAAUGAGCAAGGCCAAGCCACCGAAUAAAUGCCAAAGCACUAAUCAAAAGAGAAAGCAAAUAAGUUAAUUUUCUGCCAUGUAAUCCAACAAUAGCUAUUACGUUAUUCUUUUUCAUUAAUGACAUUUUAAAAUAUAUAGAUUUGAGUUGCAAGUCAUUCAAGAUGAGUGGCUGUAAUAUUUCUGGAAUUAAAAACUUGAUUAAACUUAAGUAUUUCUUAAAUAAAAUGAGCAAUGUUCUUUUAGAGCCAAGUAUGUCCCAGGGAAAUAUAAAACCCUUUCUAUUUCCAAGCAGAUGUUUGCAAUAAGAAAUGGAUGGUGAGCGAAAGGGAAGAACACCAUUAAGCUAAGGUAACCCCUAAAGAUUUUUAUAUAGUUCUGCAAUCAUAUAAGCUCCAUCAGUGAUAAAUAUCACAAUAGUAGUUGUAAUGUACCUGGUUUUAUUUAUGUGUAGAUCCUUGAAUGUGCUUUACCUCAAGUAAUAUAAUUCACUUAAUGACCAUAGAAAAGCUAUAUUUUAAUGUAAAUGAAAGCAACAUAACUUUUUUAACCUGAAAAGGUUCUUUCUCUAAAGAUAAUUUGCAAUAAAUCUGAACAAUAACAUCUGUAAACCUAUGUUUUGUUUUUAGAAUAUAAAUAAGUAAAAAUUCCUGGCUAAACACUUACUAAUGUAUGAGGAUUAGAUUCUGAUAUUCUUCUUUAUUACAAGUGAUAUUUUGCAUAAUCUCAAAAUUAUUAUAGUUGUUUGUAUAACGUUAUUCAGUGUGAGAAUGUGGAUCAUAUUCUGGUUGCAAAAUUCAGAUAACAAAAUCUAAAUCUCUUCUCUUCUGCUUUGAAAUGGCUGUUAUUUUGUAGUAUUAUAUUGCUGAUUGUAGCUUAUUUUUUGAAUAUUCAAAACUGAAAUGGGCUUGCACCUAUUGAUGCUUGUUGCCUUUACCUAAGGCAAAGACUUUGAUUGGUUGUGUGAUUUUUAUAGAGGAUAAUGAAUAAUUCCAGGAUCUCUUCACAGCUAUUAUGAUGCUGUUACAGAAAGAGUUGUCUAAUGUCAAAAUCAGGUGUCCUCAGACAGACUACUGACUGAAAGUCAGCAUUGAUUUAGGAAAUGAACAUUCAGAUAUCAUGACCCUAUGUGUAGAAGCUAUGCACGUAAAUAGACUGGUGCAGUGCAAAGCAUGUGCAACAAAUCCACGCUUGAAUAGCAUGGAGGUAUAUCUAUCUUAGCUUCAUUCAUGCAAAGUCAUCUCAAAGUGAAUGCAACCCACUUGGAAAGACAACUACAGAAUAUGCAUAAGCUGGUCACAUAACUUGCUGUAUGAAUUCCAGUGUGUAAAGUGUCUUGAAAAAACAGCAGUGUGAAAAAAGAUUACUCUGUAUCAAAAGCCUCUCUCCUUACUAACAAGGUGGAGCACAUGCAUACUCUGCAAACUCUGGGUCACAUAUAAGAACACGAAAUCAAAUGCACAAACCAGCCAGGAAGCAUUAAUUGUAGAAAAGGCUCUAGGGACUACAGGGAAGCACAAAACCUACACAUUGCUCUUUGAUGCUACUGCAAAAAAGACACAUCUCAUCUGGGAGUGUGAUAACAGGAGUGUUGCCUGUGAGACAAAGGAGAUAAUUAUUGCUUUCUACUCAGCACUAGGGAAAUCUCAGAUGGAGUACUCUGCCUAGUUUCAGCACCACACUUUAAGAAAAAUGUUGACAUAUUGGAGAGAGUCCAAAGGUGAGCAAAAAACCAAGGGAUUAGGAAAACAUGACCUGUGAGGAAAUACUAAAAGAACCGUUUUUUUAAAAGAGAAGAUUGGAGUUGAGUGGAGUGGGACAUGAACUGGUGACAUGAUAAGAUAUGUAAAAGACCUCAGAAGAGAAUGAUUAUGAGCUAUUUUCCAUGCCUUUCAUGAGUAGGAUAAGAAAAAAACUGACAAUCUGGAAAAGGGAAAAUUCUAAUUGGAUAUUAGAAAAACUUUCAAACUAAUGGAAUAGUUAAGCCCUAGUAAAUGUUUAACUAAUAAAAUUUUUGAAAGUCCAUAAAGCUGUGAGCUCAGUGCAUUAACUCAUGUAAGUACCAACACUUACUGAGGAAGGGUUAUAGAAGAUGGCCUUCUGAGUGGCCUAUGCUGAUUUUAUUUACCUAAAUUUCUUCUGUCAAUACAGUUCAAAAAGAUGUUCAUAUUUACUUCUUUCCAGAACUACCAUGUGAGGAGUCACUGACCUUUGAAAAUUUAUAAUUUUUAGUAUAAAAAAUAGUAAAUGGGAGAUAUUUGAAAAUUCUUUUCUGUGAUAUCUGCUUCUAAUUUAUUUUUUAGCCAGUAACAAACUGGCAGCAAUUGUAUGAACUUUAAAUAUUUGUAAACAAUAUUCCUAUAUUGUUAGUCUUAUUUCUUAUACAUCCUUUCCCUUUAAUGGACUAACUCCAGUUGUGAGAAGUUGUUUUAAGAUGAAAUAAAGUUGCUUUGUUCUGUU